GACCUAAUAGCACAAGUGGUAGUGCGCCUGCUGUGUAUAAAAUGGAGAAACAGAGUAUUUGCAGGAGGUCCCUGUUCGAUUCGGGGUUAGGUCA